CCUCGUCUCCACUGAGGCCAUCACAUCUAGGUCCAGGGAAGUACCUGGUUUAAGACAACAACUGGAGACUGAUACACUCUUUUUGAGAACCAGAAAAGAUCUUGGGGGUGGGGACAGGGAAUUCUGGGAGUCCCUUUUCAGUCUGCAGGACUUCAUGACCCACUUGCUUAAACCCAUCUUGGCAAGCCUGCCACCAGGUUCCAGAUGCUACCAUGACACCAACCUGACUUCCAUGGGCAGACGACCCCACCAAUAUGUCCUGGAACCCCACCUCCCCAGAGCCCUGCCCCACUAGGGAAAGAGACAGGCUGGGAGUAUGGAUUCACCUGUCAACAGCCAUGUUCAGCGGGGAAGCAAUGACAGAAGCCAGACCUUCCACCUUCUGCAUCCCACAAUGACCCUGGAUCCAUACUCCCAGAGGGAUAAAGAAUAGGAAAACUAUUAGGGGAAGGGAUGGGAUACGGAGUUCUGGUGGUGGGAAUUGUGCAGAAUUGUACCCCUCUUAUCCUAUGGUCUUGUCAACAUUUCCAUUUUAUUAAAAGGAAAACUGU